rnacentral:rRNA from 1 species
GGUGAACGCUGGCGGCGUGCCUAACACAUGCAAGUCGAACGGAGUCCAGCCUUAGAGACCUUCGGGUCAAAGAGGGGAAGACUGAGUGGCGGACGGGUGAGUGACACGUGGGCAACCUGGCUCAUAGAGGGGGAUAACAGAGAGAAAUUUCUGCUAAUACCGCAUAAGCACACACUGCCGCAUGGCAGAGUGUGAAAAGAGAAUCGCUAUGAGAUGGACCAGCGUCUGAUUAGCCAGUUGGCAGGGUAAGAGCCUACCAAAGCGACGAUCAGUAGCCGAUUUGAGAGGAUGAACGGCCACAUUGGGACUGAGACACGGCCCAAACUCCUACGGGAGGCAGCAGUGGGGGAUAUUGCACAAUGGGGGGAACCCUGAUGCAGCGACGCCGCGUGAGUGAAGAAGUAUUUCGGUAUGUAAAGCUCUAUCAGCAGGGAAGAUAAUGACAGUACCUGAAUAAGAAGCCCCGGCUAACUACGUG